AGCAUCGUAAAAAUAAACCUGCACUUUUGUAUUCGGUUCAACUAGUCCGUUCGUUAACAAUAAAAUUAAUUGCGUCCAAUUUACCUAUAAAUAAAUUACGGAACAUAUCGAUCUGAUCAAGAGAAUCAGCUUAAUUUAAAAGUUCUGCCUCGCGUAUCUUGUCCUUGGACGGGAAAUUCUAAAACACAA